UACGUAGGGGGCAAGCGUUGUCCGGAUUUAUUGGGCGUAAAGAGCGUGUAGGCGGCCCGGUAAGUCCGUUGUGAAAGUCCAGGGCUCAACCCUGGAAUGCCGAUGGAUACUGCCGGGCUAGAGUUCGGAAGAGGCGAGUGGAAUUCCUGGUGUAGCGGUGGAAUGCGCAGAUAUCAGGAGGAACACCUAUAGCGAAGGCAGCUCGCUGGGACGACACUGACGCUGAGACGCGAAAGCGUGGGGAGCGAACAGG
rnacentral:rRNA from 1 species